GAGGCAGCAGUGAGGAAUAUUGGUCAAUGGACGAGAGUCUGAACCAGCCAAGUAGCGUGCAGGAUGACGGCCCUAUGGGUUGUAAACUGCUUUUAUACGGGAAUAAAGUGGCUCACGUGUGGGUUUUUGUAUGUACCGUAUGAAUAAGGACCGGCUAAUUCCGUGCCAGCAGCCGCGGUAAUACGGAAGGUCCGGGCGUUAUCCGGAUUUAUUGGGUUUAAAGGGAGCGUAGGCCGCCGAUUAAGCGUGUUGUGAAAUGCCGCAGCUCAACUGUGGCACUGCAGCGCGAACUGGUUGGCUUGAGUGCGCGGAAGGCAGGCGGAAUUUGUGGUGUAGCGGUGAAAUGCUUAGAUAUCACGAAGAACCCCGAUUGCGAAGGCAGCCUGCCGCAGCGUAACUGACGCUGAAGCUCGAAAGUGCGGGUAUCGAACAGGAUUAGAUGCCCUGGUAGUCCGCACGGUAAACGAUGGAUGCCCGCUGUUCCAGUUUUAUAUUGGAGUGGCCAAGCGAAAGCGUUAAGCAUCCCACCUGGGGAGUACGCCGGCA
rnacentral:rRNA from 1 species